rnacentral:tRNA from 1 species
UGCGGAAGUAGUUCAGUGGUAGAAUACAACCUUGCCAAGGUUGGGGUCGCGGGUUCGAAUCCCGUCUUCCGCU